rnacentral:tRNA from 1 species
GGAGGGUAUAGCUCAGUGGUAGAGCGCAUGCUUAGCAUGCACGAGGUCCUGGGUUCAAUCCCCGGUACCUCCA